rnacentral:rRNA from 1 species
AGUGAACGCUGGCGGUAGGCCUAACACAUGCAAGUCGAACGGCAGCACAGUAAGAGCUUGCUCUUACGGGUGGCGAGUGGCGGACGGGUGAGGAAUACAUCGGAAUCUACUUUUUCGUGGGGGAUAACGUAGGGAAACUUACGCUAAUACCGCAUACGGCCUACGGGUGAAAGCAGGGGAUCUUCGGACCUUGCGCGAUUGAAUGAGCCGAUGUCGGAUUAGCUAGUUGGCGGGGUAAAGGCCCACCAAGGCGACGAUCCGUAGCUGGUCUGAGAGGAUGAUCAGCCACACUGGAACUGAGACACGGUCCAGACUCCUACGGGAGGCAGCAGUGGGGAAUAUUGGACAAUGGGCGCAAGCCUGAUCCAGCCAUACCGCGUGGGUGAAGAAGGCCUUCGGGUUGUAAAGCCCUUUUGUUGGGAAAGAAAAGCAGCAGGUUAAUACCCCGCUGUUCUGACGGUACCCAAAGAAUAAGCACCGGCUAACUUCGAG